GCUCGUAUUUUGGAGGUUUGCGAGUGAAGCCGUCGCCGACAAAGCAGACUUUUGUGACCAUUCUCUUCCAGGCUUUCUUUUGUCUCUUUCCAGUUUUGAUGACCUUCAGCACUUCUGUCUCGCCCUGGGCGCGCACUUUUGCAGAAAAAUCUUCACUGUGGAAUUCUACCAAAACAAGUGGGGAGACUGACAACAGUGGACACUUACAGCCUUCUCUUUCCUCUUCUGCUUGAUCAUGUUGGACAGAACCUUGGCACGGGACUGUCCCUCUCUGUCCAACAGAGAACCAGCACAAAUCCAACGUCUCCCCCUGUACUCACGUCUUCUUCAUCUGGAUCUUCUCUGAAUGUCUCUGUUUGUGGUACAGCUUGGCCUUCAAUCCAAUCAACUUCCUGGCUUUGUGCGACCGCUCGUGGACCUCACGGCUCUCCUUCUUCCUCUUCCUCUCAUGGUGGUCCAAGCGCUGGCCAUGCCGCUUGCGGUGCAACUCGAUGUGCUCGUUCUGGGGCUGAAAAAGACAAUAUAAAGAAACAUCCAAUUUAAUUCAAUCUUUUGAUGAACUAUAAUAAAUGCACAAAUCUAGUUUCCAGUUCCAAAUACACAUCAACAGGAAGGAGGAUGUAUAAAAAGCUCUAAUAUGAACCAACCAGCUGUUUAAUUGCGCUGACUCAUGAACUUGAGUCAGGUUGCGUUUGUAAAUUUGAAAUAUUUAACCUGGAGAAAUCAUUAAACUGUUCUUUCACAUUAA